UACGUAGGGUGCAAGCGUUGUCCGGAAUUAUUGGGCGUAAAGAGCUCGUAGGCGGCUUGUCGCGUCGACUGUGAAAACUCGGGGCUCAACUCCGAGCUUGCAGUCGAUACGGGCAGGCUAGAGUUCGGUAGGGGAGACUGGAAUUCCUGGUGUAGCGGUGAAAUGCGCAGAUAUCAGGAGGAACACCGGUGGCGAAGGCGGGUCUCUGGGCCGAUACUGACGCUGAGGAGCGAAAGCGUGGGGAGCGAACAGG
rnacentral:rRNA from 1 species